UACGAAGGGGGCUAGCGUUGCUCGGAAUCACUGGGCGUAAAGCGCACGUAGGCGGACUCUUAAGUCGGUGGUGAAAUCCUGGAGCUCAACUCCAGAACUGCCUUCGAUACUGUUUGGCUUGAGUAUGGCAGAGGUUGGUGGAACUGCGAGUGUAGAGGUGAAAUUCGUAGAUAUUCGGAAGAACACCAGUGGCGAAGGCGACUCGCUGGACAGACAUUGAACGCUGAGGUGCGAAAGCGUGGGGAGCAAACAGG
rnacentral:rRNA from 1 species